CCGAGUUUACAAACUCCCAACCCUAUGUGAACCUUACCUAUCGUUGCUUCGGCGGGCUUAGCCCCCGCGCCUUCGCCGGCGCCGGGAAACAGGCGCCCGCCGGAGACCCAAACUCAACGUUUUUCAUGCAGUAUUAUCUGAGUGGCAAACGCAAAAAUAAAUCA
rnacentral:misc_RNA from 1 species